rnacentral:tRNA from 1 species
UACCCGGUGGUGUAACGGUAGCACAGGGGCCUUUGGAGCCCUUAGCCAUGGUUCGAAUCCAUGCCGGGUAA